CCUACGGGAGGCUGCAGUGGGGGAUAUUGCACAAUGGGGGAAACCCUGAUGCAGCGACGCCGCGUGGGCGACGAAGUAUUUCUGUAUGUAAAGCCCCAUCAGCAGGGAAGCAGAACUGACGGUACCUGAGUAAGAAGCACCGGCUAAAUACGUGCCAGCAGCCGCGGUAAUACGUAUGGUGCAAGCGUUAUCCGGAUGUACUGGGUGUAAAGGGAGCGCAGGCGGCACGGCAAGCCUGAUGGGAAAGCCCGCGGCCCAACCGCAGGACUGCAUUGGGAACUACCGGGCUGGAGGGCCGGAGAGGUAGGCGGAAUGCCUAGUGUAGCGGUGAAAGGCGUAGAUAUUAGGAGGAACACCAGUGGCGAAGGCGGCCUACUGGACGGUGACUGACGCUGAGGCUCGAAAGCGUGGGGAGCAAACAGGAUUAGAUACCCCAGUAGUC
rnacentral:rRNA from 1 species